GACAGAGGGUGCAAACGUUGUUCGGAAUUACUGGGCGUAAAGCGCGUGUAGGCGGCUCGGCAAGUCGGGUGUGAAAGCCCUGGGCUUAACCUAGGAAGUGCACUCGAAACUGCCAAGCUUGAGUUCUGGAGAGGAAGGCGGAAUUCUCGGUGUAGAGGUGAAAUUCGUAGAUAUCGGGAGGAACACCGGUGGCGAAGGCGGCCUUCUGGACAGCAACUGACGCUGAGACGCGAAAGCGUGGGGAGCAAACAGG
rnacentral:rRNA from 1 species